GGUGGGAACGUGGGGAGGCGCGGAGCAGCACACCUCCAGCCCGCCGCAGGCGACGCUGGCACCUCGCGGCCCCGGCGCCCGCCACGCCCGUCGGAGUAGAGGCUCGGCGGCUCAGGAUCCCGGGAAGGCGAGCGAGGAUCCCCAUGGAGGGAAGAACAAGGUUUCGGGGCUUUAGUUGAAGUACCCGGAUUUUUCGAUCCCUAUUCCACCCCCAGCCUCAGCAAAAGUGAGACCCUUGAGGAGAAGGCGGGGAAGAGGAGGGGGCGUGUCGGUGCCUGGAUGAGAGCGCGGGAAGCAAUUAAAACUCCUGCUUUCGGAUUAACAACCCCAAAUUGAUCGAUGUGUCAGGAAUACCAUUGAUUUAUGAAAGGUGCUUAUUUCUCGGGUAUGGAGAAUUUUAUGUUCUCCAGGUGAAACCGAGUUCACCCAGCUCCAGCGCAGAUUGAUGUUUUAAUAAAAAUAAAUAAAGGGGAAAA
rnacentral:lncRNA from 1 species